rnacentral:rRNA from 1 species
AUUGAACGCUGGCGGCAGGCCUAACACAUGCAAGUCGAGCGGAUGAAGGGAGCUUGCUCCUGGAUUCAGCGGCGGACGGGUGAGUAAUGCCUAGGAAUCUGCCUGGUGGUGGGGGAUAACGUCCGGAAACGGGCGCUAAUACCGCAUACGUCCUGAGGGAGAAAGUGGGGGAUCUUCGGACCUCACGCUAUCAGAUGAGCCUAGGUCGGAUUAGCUAGUUGGUGGAGUAAAGGCCUACCAAGGCGACGAUCCGUAACUGGUCUGAGAGGAUGAUCAGUCACACUGGAACUGAGACACGGUCCAGACUCCUACGGGAGGCAGCAGUGGGGAAUAUUGGACAAUGGGCGAAAGCCUGAUCCAGCCAUGCCGCGUGUGUGAAGAAGGUCUUCGGAUUGUAAAGCACUUUAAGUUGGGAGGAAGGGCAGUAAGUUAAUACCUUGCUGUUUUGACGUUACCAACAGAAUAAGCACCGGCUAACUUCGUG